rnacentral:rRNA from 1 species
AGAGUUUGAUCCUGGCUCAGGACGAACGCUGGCGGCGUGCCUAAUACAUGCAAGUCGAGCGGUCCCCUUCGGGGAUAGCGGCGGACGGGUGAGUAACACGUAGGCAACCUGCCUGUAAGACUGGGAUAACUAUCGGAAACGAUAGCUAAGACCGGAUAGCUGGUUUCUCCGCAUGGGGAAAUUAUGAAACACGGGGCAAC